GAUGAACGCUGGCGGCGUGCCUAAUACAUGCAAGUCGAGCGAACGGACGAGAAGCUUGCUUUUCUGAUGUUAGCGGCGGACGGGUGAGUAACACGUGGAUAACCUACCUAUAAGACUGGGAUAACUUCGGGAAACCGGCGCUAAUCCCGGAUAAUAUUUUGAACCGCAUGGUUCAAAAGUGAAAGACGGUCUUGCUGUCACUUAUAGAUGGAUCCGCGCUGCAUUAGCUAGUUGGUAAGGUAACGGCUUACCAAGGCAACGAUGCAUAGCCGACCUGAGAGGGUGAUCGGCCACACUGGAACUGAGACACGGUCCAGACGCCUACGGGAGGCAGCAGUAGGGAAUCUUCCGCAAUGGGCGAAAGCCUGACGGAGCAACGCCGCGUGAGUGAUGAAGGUCUUCGGAUCGUAAAACUCUGUUAUUAGGGAAGAACAUAUGUGUAAGUAACUGUGCACAGCGUGACGGUACCUAAUCAGAAAGCCACGGCUAACUACGUG
rnacentral:rRNA from 1 species